UACGGAGGGUGCAAGCGUUGUCCGGAUUUAUUGGGUUUAAAGGGUGCGUAGGCGGCUCUUUAAGUCAGUGGUGAAAGCCUCCAGCUUAACUGGAGAACAGCCAUUGAUACUGAAGAGCUUGAGUACAGACGAGGUAGGCGGAAUUUAUGGUGUAGCGGUGAAAUGCAUAGAUACCAUAAAGAACUCCUAUUGCGAAGGCAGCUUACCAGGCUGUAACUGACGCUGAGGCACGAAAGCGUGGGGAUCAAACAGG
rnacentral:rRNA from 1 species